GCGUCAGUAGUGUGACUGAUAGAGCACGCAUUCCCAGAAAGAGUGAGGUGCGGGUUCUAGUCCCACCUGACGCG